rnacentral:tRNA from 1 species
GAGGGUAUAUCUCAGUGGCAGAGUGUGUGCCUAGCAUGCACAGGUCCUGGGUUCAAUAGCCAGUACCUCCA